GCGAGGAUGAGCCCAGGGUUCCAUGGUCCCUACCUAGACCCCACGCGAUUCCUCACCUGAGACCCCGUCCCACACAGCCCUGGCUGGGGCAAACAGCCCCCUCCCCACUUCCUAUCUAAUUUGCAGGGAGAUCGACGACGUGAUCAGCGCAGACCUGCAGUCUCUCCAGGUGGGGACUGUUCCUGGAGGGGCGGGAUGGGGUGGGGGUCUUGGCCAGCGCUAAACUUUCGCCAUGCGGCAGGGCCCCUACCUGCCCCUGGAGCUGGGGUUGGAGCAGCUGUUUCAGGAGCUGGCUGGAGAGGUGAGGAGGGGGAUUGGACUGAGGGGGCAUCCCGCUGCGGCCUCCCCUUGGGGACCCCCCUUCCCCCACCCCAGCAUCUCAGGUGUCUCAUUUUGCUUGCUUUUUCCUCCCUCCGGGCUUAAAUCUCCUGACCUUUUCUUGAAAUGCUCACAGCUCCUCCCUGCCUCAGGGCCUUGGGCUCAGUCCAUACCCUCUCCCAGGACCACCCUCUCCCUCCUGACACCUCCAGCCAGGCUCAGGUCUCAUCUAACGUGUCCAGCCCUGGAAGCUCUCCCUGACCACUCCCCUGCCCCAGGCUGGUCUGCUGGCCCCCCACCAGCUCCCACAGCCCAGUGCUUCCCCCGUCACAGCCCUGGCCCUGUGGGGACAGGUCUGUCUCCCCCACUCCUGGAGCUAGGGCUCUGAGGCUCUGUCAGCCCCUGCCGUGUCCCUAGCUAGGCUAGGGCUUGGCCCAGAGCAGCUGGAUGAGUAAAUGGCCUCACAAGCCCUCUUUCCUGGACUAGGAGGAAGAACUCAAUGCCUCUCAGCUCCAGGCCUUACUAAGCAUUGCCCUGGAGCCUGGUGAGUUGGCUGGGAUAGGGGCAGGAGGAGGGGUCUUAGCCAGGGGUCCUGCAACCAGAGCCGGUGCCACCCUAUGUCUAUGAACCCACCACGCUGCUGGGAGUUGGGCUCAGGAAGCCAGGGCUCAGCCUGGCAGCAUCUCCCUGCAGGGGAUCUUGUGUGGGCCCCGUGACCUGGGCCACGGCUGCUCGCAAGCUCCCCUUCCGCUGAAAGGCAAGGCUGCCUUGAGCACAGACUGGGAACCCCCUGCCUGGAUUUGAAUCCCAGCUCUGCUAGGCGCAGCAGUCACUGGCUCCCUGUGCCUCGGCUUCUAUAAUAUGGGACUGACAACAUCACCUGCUUAAGGGAGUCACAUCCACCCAGCCCUUAAAGUGGUGGCCAGAAUGCAGGAAGUGCCGUGGUUUGAUUUUGUUUUUCCUGUAGCCAGGGCCCACACCUCCACCCCCAGAGAGAUCGGGCUCAGGACCUGUGAGCAGCUGCUGCAGUGUUUCGGGGUACAUGGGGGGCAGUGCCUGGGUGAGGGAGGGAGUGGGGAAAGGGAUGUUGGGGUCUCUCCUCCCCUUCUGGAGAGAUAGACCUUAACCAGAUGCCCCCCACCCCCAACACAGCAUGGGCAAAGCCUGGCCUUACACCACUUCCAGCAGCUCUGGGGCCACCUCCUGGAGUGGCAGGUGAGGUGGGAGACUGGGCCUCUUCCCAGAAAGAGAGAAACCUUUACUAACAGAGACAUAGGCACCCUGUGGGCUAUCAGGUCCCCAGGGAACGAGGGGGUACUGGACUAGGCUGACUUGGAGAGAUCUGGCUGGGAUAUCCCUGCCCCCGCCCAGCCUCAGCUUGUCCUCUGGGUCAUUGCUCUUAUUCCCAUUUUACAGAUUGGGAAACAGAAGUCCCAAGUGGCUAGGCUGCUUGCUGGGGGUCCACACCAGAAGAAAGGGAGUUGGGAUGGGCACCAGGCUGUCUUGCCUGGGAGGCCCCAUUGGCAGCCCUCUUCAGGGCAUGGAGGGCAGCCCUGACUCAUCCUUCCUGCCCAGGCCAUAUUCGACAAGUUCGAUGAGGACACCUCUGGAACCAUGAACUCCUACGAGCUGAGGCUGGCGCUGAAUGCAGCAGGUGUGGACAGGGUCCUGGGGUGGUCGUGGGGACAGGACCUGUUCUCUCCUAUCCCAUUGUCUCCAAGUCCCCCUGCUCAGCUGUGGCCGUCUGCACUGUGGCCAUCCACAGGCCCACACCUUAGCUUGUUGCCAGUCCCUGGCAGGGGUUGGGUGACCCUGAAAGAGGCCAAAUAAGGAAGAAGGGCAAGGGGCAUGUGCGGGGUGGGGAGGACAUGAAAGGGGGAUGUGCCUGGUAGGGGUUCUGGGGGAGGGAGAGGCCCCUCCAGGAAGGGGAAGAUUAGGAGCUGGUAUCUGAGAGGGUCUGGCCCCCAGGGCAGCAUGGUAGAAUGUUCUGGAUUCUGGUGCACCGGGGUUGGAAUCCUCAUUCUACUGACUCCAGGAGGGGCCCUAGGCACUUGACUUCAUCUCUUUGAGCCUCCAUUUUCCUCUCUAAAAUGGCCAGGGCCUGGUGUGGUGGCUCACACCUAUGGUCCCAGCUACUCAGGAGGCUGAGGCUUGAGGAUGGCUUGAGCCCGGGAGGCUGAGGCUGCAGUGAGCCGUGAUUGUGCCUGGGUGACAGAGCAAGAGCCUGCCUCUC
rnacentral:sRNA from 1 species